CUUUCCUGAGAGAAAGAGGCCAGGUAAAGGAGUCUAUAUCCUUUUUAUUCCCAUGCAGAUGUCCGAGGCUUCUUUUUCCUUUGGUCAAAUAUGAUUUGUAUUUCUUCUUGGUUAAUAUUCCCAGAAUUCUCCAGUCUGCUUUCUGCCUG
rfam:Camelus ferus unplaced genomic scaffold scaffold931, whole genome shotgun sequence.